rnacentral:lncRNA from 1 species
CAAGGAUCUGGCACAUUCUCUGCCCAGCCUUUCCCCAUCACUGCUGCAGCAUGCCGCAGCCUGUGCUCUGGAUGGCCCUGGCUCCUCUGCUAGCCGCCCUCAAUGCAGGGAUGGUCACCUUCUCUCCCUGCAGUGGGGCCCACUGCACCAUCCUGUGCCUCAUCACCCGCUCGCCAGGCCAGCACUCCGUGGAGAGAAGCUGCGUGCCAUGCCCCUUUGGCUUUUGAGCUUGCCUGGGACCCAGUGCCUACAUCUCCUGAUCUCAGUCACAUCCAAGGUGGAUGGUGGAUGCAGGAGACAUGGGCUCCGGUCAGGCUCUGCUUUCACCUGUCCUGUGACCUGGUGUUUGGGUGGCAGGACAACUCUGCAGCCAUGCCCCACCUGCCGAACCUGCGCUGAGCUCCCAGGACUCAUAGACAGCAAGGAGUGCCAGUGGUGCCUGACUAGACAGAAGCCAAGCUCGCAGAAUGCUGGCUACGUCUUCUGCCCCCUGGGAUACUUCUUCACAGACAGAGGCCCCAGCUGCC